rnacentral:lncRNA from 1 species
GCAGAGGAUGGUGGAUGGCAGAACAAGGACUAUCAUCAAUGACAUUUUCUUCACUGAGCCCACCCCAGAAAUGAGCUCCCUUCCUGUGCGCUCUCACAGCUCCUUGUCGUUGAAUCUCGUAUCACUGAUGGUAAUUUGCAGAGGAAUAAUUAAGUUGGUGAUUCACUUUAGGAUGUACUGCCCUCCGAGGCUGAAAGCUAAACACAUAGAGCCCACGUUACGCCCAGUACCACUUAAGGAACUGCGGAUUAGUCACUGGCCCAAUGAAUGCAUCAGACACUCAGCUUCAGUUCCCAUGGCAACAGGGGCUAAUGGCCUAGAGACUAAAGAUGAGACAAAGAGAAACGCAGAGAAAUGUGCGUGUUCUGUCUUCCUCUGAGGUACGCAAGCCCCUAUUCAGGGAUUGAAAAGAACAUUCGCUUUAGUUCUACCCUGCCCUCCCCUCAAUGCUGGGUGGAGGAGGGCAGAAACGCAGACGGGCCUGACAUGAAUCCAGAAUUUCUACAUCCUCUCAAUGCACCUGCACGGUUUGGAGACAGGCUUCUUUGUCCCCGAGCCAUCAUGUUACCAACAAUGUAUUGUACCUGCAAACCAUGCCUGUGGAACCUAGGAUUCCUGCUACCCCAACUCACCUUCCUCUUUACCACCCUCUAGCCUCUAUCACAGUAGGGGAGUUUUUUCAGUCAUUCCUAUUUUCUGACAGAAAGUUCCAGCCAGCCCAAUUUCAGAAGCGCUGUCUCAGGAGGGCUCCCUGAUCCUUCCUGCCAGAGUCACACAGGACACACCUCCUCCCUCUUCUCCUCUGUGGCCUGGGAGACCUCUGCCCAGACCAUGGGACAAGUUCCUAGGGCUCCCCCUUCCUGCCACACUCCUGUUCCGCCAGGGCCUUGGGGAGACUCAGACGAGGGAGGUUUCUGAUAGUCUCCCACUUCUGGAAGCAGCCAAACUAAUGAGAGGCCUCUUGCCUGCCCCUCUUCCUGAGAAGCCCACCACCUCCUGUGUAUUGACUCCCCUUACCAGAGGCUGGACAAACAGCGUGCCAGGCCCGACAUGAGACGUCCCACACUAUAAAUUUGUGAUAAACAACAACUCAAAAGCUGGGCAUAUGCCCCCAAC